CAGCCGCCGCGGGAAUACGAAGGGGGCUAGCGUUGUUCGGAUUUACUGGGCGUAAAGCGCACGUAGGCGGAUCGAUCAGUCAGGGGUGAAAUCCCAGAGCUCAACUCUGGAACUGCCUUUGAUACUGUCGAUCUGGAGUAUGGAAGAGGUGAGUGGAAUUCCGAGUGUAGAGGUGAAAUUCGUAGAUAUUCGGAGGAACACCAGUGGCGAAGGCGGCUCACUGGUCCAUUACUGACGCUGAGGUGCGAAAGCGUGGGGAGCAAACAGGAUUAGAUACCCGCGUAGUCCCUGUCUCUUAUAC
rnacentral:rRNA from 1 species